AGAGUUUGAUCCUGGCUUAGGAUGAACGCUGGCGGCGUGCCUAACACAUGCAAGUCGAGCGAUUUACUUCGGUAAAGAGCGGCGGACGGGUGAGUAACGCGUGGGUAACCUGCCUCAUACACAUGGAUAACAUACCGAAAGGUAUGCUAAUACAGGAUAAUAUAAGAGAUUCACAUGGAUUUCUAUCAAAGCUCCGGCGGUAUGAGAUGGACCCGCGUCUGAUUAGCUAGUUGGUAAGGUAAUGGCUUACCAAGGCGACGAUCAGUAGCCGACCUGAGAGGGUGAUCGGCCACAUUGGAACUGAGACACGGUCCAAACUCCUACGGGAGGCAGCAGUGGGGAAUAUUGCACAAUGGGCGAAAGCCUGAUGCAAGCAACGCCGCGUGAGUGAUGAAGGCCUUCGGGUCGUAAAACUCUGUCCUCAAGGAAGAUAAUGACGGUACUUGAGGAGGAAGCCCCGGCUAACUACGUGCCAGCAGCUGC
rnacentral:rRNA from 1 species